rnacentral:rRNA from 1 species
UACGAAGGGGGCUAGCGUUGCUCGGAAUUACUGGGCGUAAAGCGCACGUAGGCGGCUUUCUAAGUCGGGGGUGAAAUCCUGGAGCUCAACUCCAGAACUGCCUUCGAUACUGGAGAGCUCGAGUCCGGGAGAGGUGAGUGGAACUGCGAGUGUAGAGGUGAAAUUCGUAGAUAUUCGCAAGAACACCAGUGGCGAAGGCGGCUCACUGGCCCGGUACUGACGCUGAGGUGCGAAAGCGUGGGGAGCAACCAGG